rnacentral:rRNA from 1 species
CCUACGGGAGGCAGCAGUGAGGAAUAUUGGUCAAUGGGCGUAAGCCUGAACCAGCCAAGUCGCGUGAGGGAUGAAGGUUCUAUGGAUCGUAAACCUCUUUUAUAAGGGAAGAAAGUGUGGGACGUGUCCUGUUUUGUAUCUACCUUAUGAAUAAGGAUCGGCUAACUCCGUGCCAGCAGCCGCGGUAAUACGGAGGAUGCGAUCGUUACCCGGAUUUAUUGGGGUUAAAGGGUGGGUAGGCGGUCUUGUAAGUCAGCGGUGAAAGUCUGUGGCUCAACCAUAGAAUUGCCGUGGAAACGGGGAGGCUUGAGUAUGUUAGAGGGAGGAGGAAUGCGAGGUGUAGCGGUGAAAUGCUUAGAUAUCACGCAGAACCCCGAUUGCGAAGGCAGCCUGCCAAGCCAUGACUGACGCUGAUGCGCGAAAGCGUGGGGAUCAAACAGGAUUAGAUACCCGUGUAGUC